UCCAAUCUGUCAGAACCCCGCUGUAUUCCUCGUAGUCACCACACCUUUGUGAUUCCUGAACCUGGAGGGGCGCAAAACCAAAAUUGAGUGGGUCAGUAAAACAAUUCUUUUCCAAAUCCAAACAUUUCUCAAAACGUUGUAACCCCUCUCCGUAAAACCUGUAUACUUUCCCAGAAAUGUAAAAUAUAAAUAUACAUAUAUAUUCUCAAAACUUCAUUUUUACUAUCUCAACAUUAUCUCUUUAUCAAUCAUGCCAUGCCAUGUCAUCUCAACAUUUCUCAUAUUAAUUAUGCCAUGCCACAUCAUCUCAACAGUAAUAAGGUAUGAAUGCAUCAACAUAAUCAUAUCAGGUGCAAGAAAGUAAUCAACCGUAGGCCCUCUAAUAGCCCUAUACGGUUGAACCUAGAGCUCAAAAUCUAUCAUUAUCACUCUACCGGAGUCACCUCUGUGACCCGUCCGGCCUUCUGCACACAAGUUACGCUCUAGUGCUUCUCAUAAAUCAUUUGUGCACAUAAUCUAAGGUCACCCACCAGUCGGAAUCUCACUAACACUCUCGCGACUGGUCUGUCGUACCCACUCCGCGUGGACUGUACGACUAGCAUCUACUUGGAUCCAAGGCGAGCGUGCGAUGCGGUGAAUACUAUAAGCACUAAACCAUGGUGCAGGAUUUGAGCUCAAUAUAUAUCAUCAUCAUCAUAACAGUAAUUAAAUACUCACCUGUGCGUCCACCGCACCAUUUCAUACAUAUGCAUCAUAAAUCAAUUCUUACCUGUGCGUCCACCGCACCAAUUCAUACAUAUGCAUCAUAUAUUAAUUCAUGCAUGGCAUUUCAACUCACAUUUCUAUAUACUUUUCAUAUCAAUUCUAUGCAUGGUAUUUCACUUCCCGUUUUUCCACAUAACUCAUAUGCAUUUCAUUUUAAACAUAAUUCAUGCAUUUUCAAUUUCUGGGAAAACGUUAAGUAUAUAUAUAUAUACGGAAAACAAAACUGCCCACUCACCUGGAGUUCGUCCAACAACUCCCUAGCACCACACAUCAAGGCGUCACGACGAUCGCCGCCUAGAAUAGUAAUCAAAUCCAACCUCAGAAUUCAUAUCGAUAGAAUAUAUAACUUAUAUAAAAUACGUCACUAUGUAGUUCGAUCCGGAAGAUCUGCCACUCAGAUUUUAAAUCCAUAACUUCCAGAGGUCCACAAUAUAUCUCUAGGAUAACAUCCUAAAAUUUCAUUACCAUCCAACGGUCGGAUCUCCGUCAAUUUCCAAAACUAAGUGACGGUUAACAUUUUAUAUUAUGGACUUACAAUUCCAAUUCCGGAAGAUCCGUAACUCGAAUUCCCAAUCCGUAAGUUCCAAUAAUCCUCAAAUAUUACGUAUUACAACGUAUCAAAGUUUGGUGACGAUCCAACGGUCGGAUCAUCAAUUCACAUUUUCACCUAAAUGUGAAAACUAUAAAACGUUAUUUGAACACCUAACCAACAAUCCUCAAUAACUUUCUCAUACGGUGUUCAAUUUAGGUAUAUAAAUAUACCACAAUGAUCUACUCGACGUCACGGACGUCGACAUAUUUUUAAAAUAAUUUUAUUUUUAUUUUUUUAUUUUUACUGUAGCACCUUCUUCUUCCUUGGGUCGCCGGACUGGUUUUUCCGGCGGCCGUUUUCCGGGCAGUUUUUCAAAUUGCCAUAACUUUGUCAUUUCUCAACGAAAUCAAGUGAUUCAAAAACGAAAGUUGUAGCCCUUGAAGAGACAAAGAGAAUGGUACCUUUCACAACACCUAGUUCGCCGUGGUUUGGCCGGAAACUGCCUCGAAAGCCUCGGAGGUCGCCGGAAACUGGGUAUUUUUCAAAUGAGUAUAACUUCUUCAAUACUCAACGAAAUUGAGUGAAACAAAAAGGAAAGUUGUAGUACUUGACGAGACGAAGAGAUUGAUACCUACCUCGACUCCUAACUCGCCGGGUAUUCUCCGGAAAACACCUCGAAAGCUCCGGCCAAACUUUGAACUUGUCGAUCUCCGUGUUCUUACGUCCAAAAACUUCCAACGAAGCACUCCGAGCUUCCUUGGGACCUCACUAAGCUUGCUAUGAUCUUAUUUUGGCCUAAAACACAACCACUUCAAAGAUCAUGAAUAGUACACAUUCACGGGGUCUUUAGAACUAGGGUUUUUCGAAAUGAAACUUACCUGAAAAUGGUACCUACGUGAUCGUGAAGUCCUCAGGGUUGCAAUGGUAGUCUUAACUUGGACGUUGGUAUAGGUUUUAGGUGGUUUUGGUGGUUUUGGUGGUUGCCCGUGCGUUCGAGAAGAAGAGAGAGAAUGAGAGUUUCUGAGGAAGAGCUGAGGAAGAGAGAGAGUAUGAAGGACAGUAUACGGGAAAUGGGGAGGGUUUUGAGGUGUGGGGAUCCCACAUGUCCAAACCAAUCCCAAUUUCAUAAAAUUCCAUCAUAAAAUUUAAGUCUAAGUCUCCACUCCAAUUACCAAAUUUUUUUGGAGCUUAGAUAUAACGAACGUGAAAAUUAUACCUUAGUCACAUAUUAGGGACAUUUCCGUAAUUUCAUGUCCUCGGAAUUAAAAAUUCCGGCACGGGCUGUGACAAUCUCCCCUCCUUAUAGAAUUUCGUCCCCGAAAUUCCAGCAACCAACCAAAUCAUCUAUACUCAUACAAUAGCCUCGGAUAAAUCUCUCUCAUCCGAUUCUCUUUCUCCCACACAAUUUUCUACUGAAUGAUUUCCUUCACAAAGCUUUUACUACUUACUCUGUCUUAAUUCUUAGGACCUUCUUUUUCCAAUUCAAAGUCGACAUUAGUUCCUCACCAAUCAGAUCCGGCUUAAUUCUCAAUAGUUGCACCAAAGUCCCAUGUAACGACUCUGCCACUUAGUGACAACGCAUCGAACACAAAAUACAUUAUGUGCCUUAGCCAAUUCUGAAGGCAUCACAAACUUGUAUGCAACUUUAUUGAUUCCUUUAGUAAAAAAAAAAAUGGUCUGAUGUGUCUAAAUCUUAUCUUGUCUCUUUUCCAAUUUUUCAUUCUCGUCAUUUCUGUUCGCGGUGAAUUUUCCAAAAAUAUCAAACCAUUUACCUUACACACUCGAUUAGUGGCAUAUCCAUCUGUUGAUCUCUUUUGCCAUUCCUGGUUACUUCAGGUUAACUUAAUCACCUGAAUACUUUGAGGAAACUCAUCCAUAGUCUCAGGGUCUACUAAAACUCUUUCUUGAUCGAAUCCUUCUCUACCCAGAAACAUUCCAUUCACAAAGUCAUCAAAAACCGACUCACAUGACACAUUUCAUGAUCCUUAUGGCGUUACUUCGGAAACUGCACAACCAACAUACUUAAGAAACUCAGCAGUUCCGUAAACCAAUUCUCUUUUCCAUAAAACAAAUAAGUAAUGUUGCACUGUCUGGGAAAGGUUGUUACUCAACACUGGAGUAAAUGUACUAACUUGUUACUUAACAAGUAAUAACUUCUUCUCGAUCUUCCAUUCUUAAUUUUUCUUCCGUUGGUUUUCAAUCCACAAGAUGAUACUCUUGGCAAACGUGCCAGACAUUAAUCUUACUGUAGUCUUCUCACCAAGUGCUUGAGCUAGAACAAACUUUACGAUCACCCUGAUCGUACAAUCAUGUUCAUUAAGCAAUUCAAUCCACCUUUGUUGCCUCAUAUUGAAAUCCUUCCGAGUAAACAAAUAUUGGAGACUCUUUUGAUUUGUAAAAUCUUGCAUUCUUAUCAACAUAGAAUGUCUCCAUAACUUCACAGCAAGAAUGGUAAUCAUGACUUCCAAGUCACCCGUAGGGUAAUUCAUCUUAUGAGAUUCCAUUUAUCGUGAAACGUAUGCAAUCACCCUAACAUUUGCAUCAACAUGCAUCCAAUACCAUUCAAGAAACAUCACUAAAAAUUUAUGAUUACCACUAUUCUCUGGGAAUACCAAAAUACGUGCAUGAGUGAGGAAAUACUUCAGUUGUUGAAUCCUUUGCUCACAAUUUCCUUCCCACUCAUACAUAACCUCUUUUCUCAACAGUCUCGUCAAUGACAAAGCAAUGACUGAAAAAUCUUUCACAACCAUCCAAGAUAGCCUGGUAAGCUAAGAAAUUCCGAAUCUCAAUUACAGUUCGUGGUUGUUCCAAUUCCUCAAUUUCUGCUAUCUUUUAAGGAUUCACUUGAAUACCUUAAGAAUAUAUAACAAAUCUCAGAAUGCCACCUGAUUCAUCUAACUUUAGCAUUUGCUACUUAGCAUACAACCGACAUUCUUCCAAUCUUUAUUCCACCGACUUAAUACGUUUACAUGCUCUGCUCUGGCUCAGAAUAUGCCAGAAUAUCUUCAAUGAAAAUGAUAUCUAUUUAUCAAGGCAUUAUUGGAAUACUUCAUCCAAUAACUCAUAAAACAGCAUGAGUAUCCAUAUAGCAUCACCAUAGUUCAUAAAACAAUCUUAAGAACAACGUCGCUCAUAAUCUUUAAAUUGGUAAUAACCAGACCUCAAUUCAAUCUUUGAAUCUUCGCAAUUACUUCUGAGCUGGUUAAAUAAACAUCAGUACAUCACCAUGGAUAACGGUUCUCAAUCGUUACCCGACUCCAUUGUCUAUAAUCAAUGAACAGUCUCAAGAUCCAUUUUCUUCCUCACCAACAAACUGGGGCUCCUCAAAAGUGUUGUACUAGGUUGAAUGAAACUUUUAUCAACCAAUUCUUUCAACUGAAUUUCCAAUUCCCUUAACUCAUCCUGAACCAAUCUCCAAUAUAAAUUUAUACCUGGCAACAAAUCAAUAAUGAACCUCAUAUCUCUGCCUGAAGGCAAUCCAGGUAUACUUUCAAGGAAGACAUCAAGAAAAGUCUAACUCUUUCGACAUUAUUCACACUACUCCAAACAACAUCAUUUAGCACCACAUGAGCUAAGUAUUUUUGACAGUCUUUCGAAAACAAUCUCUUUGCUCUCACAGCAUAAAUAACGGCCUGACUCAAUCCAUUUUGCAUACUUACAAAAGUAAUCUCUGUUCAUCCAGAUCGAUGGAAAGUACUGGUUUCCCAUAACAUUUCGUCUUGUCACAAUUAUAACCAACCAAUCUAAUGGAACAGAAUUAACUGAUACAAUAUAUAUUUUAUUAUUAUUAAGCAUUCCAAAUAAGUACAAUACUAACAUAAAAUAAUCUACCGGGUUGCUUGCUUAACGAAUCCACGAAUGAGUUAUUAAUAUUACGGUCUGCAGCCCGCAAUACUGAUAAAUCAUCGUUGUCUCGAUAAGUAGGCAACCACUCUCAAAGAUAUAACAUUACUAUUUUGUCACUCAAUGCAAAAUACAUACACUCUCAUCUCAACUACAUUUAUUUACUACUCUCAAGGUAAUAACAUACAUAAUAAGAAAUAUAUCAGCCGAAGUCAACUAGAAUGACCAAUACGGCUGAUUCAACUCUUAUCUCAAUAAUACGUCGGCCGGAUCCACUCCGCGUGGUCGGUACGGCCGAGCCUAUAACUCACAAAUUUCGCAUGUGUCAAUCGAAUCCACUUCUCGUGGCCUGUACGGCUGAACAUAUAACUCAUCAAAUCUCUCUGUACUCACGGUCAAUCCGACCAAACUACUAAGUCCAUAACUCUGCUGAAUCGACACUAUGAUAUCAUGGAAAAUUAUUGAGUACAACUGAUUCUAGGGACGAUUCACAAUUCUGUGUCCCCUCUGUUCACAUAAACACAUUCAUUAAUUUCACAUUUCCCAAAGUGUUAAUUUUGUACCUGCUGCACAAGGUACAUUUCUUUUACUCGAGACACCUUGUCUCAAAUAUCUGGGAUUACCAGUAUAUCCAUCACUUUUACUCUGACCAACGACACUAAAACCUCAGCUGGAAGAAUUAACUCUAGCUUCACUUCUUUCGAAGCUCUGAAUCCUUCGAUAUUCUUGAUAUGACGAAUCAUUAACUUUAUCGUCUUCUUUUAAUUCCCAUUCUUUUCUUAUUCCUCUUCACUCUAGCUGAUCAUAUUCUCAGAGUCCUCAAGACUCAACAGCAUCUCGUAUAUUCUUGGUAAGAAGUACAAUGGAUAGUGGUCACCCAAAAUACCACUUCCCUUUUUUGCCACCCAGCUUAAAACAACAUAACACCUCCACCAAAUUAACAACAAUAUCUGGAUGGAACGAGGCAAGUCUGAAAACUUUCUAUAAUAUCCCUCGAUCAUCACCUUCCUUGUCUCAUAUUUGUAAACUCUUGUUUACUACCAUCGAUAAAUGCCGGAGGGAUAAACUUUUCCUUUAAACAAGUCCUUAAACAAUUCUCAAUCGACUGAUUCCUCUGGUGACAACAAUUCAUACUCCUGUUUCCACCAGGAUACAAAUUCAUAACCAAAACCAGGUAGUCGUCUCGACCCCUUGUCAGAAGGAAGAUUCCUUUGACUUGCAUAUUCCGAAACAUCUUUUCCAAUUGGUUAAUCCGUCACUUUGUUCCCUCAGGUUCAUCAUUUCUCUUAAGUGAUUCAAAUUCAACUCAUAACCCGUCUUAAAAUGUCCAUUUUUCUAAUAUACUGAAUCACCAUAAGAAUAGUUUCCCCUAACCCGCUAAAUCAGGGAGACUAAGUUCCUCUAACUACGUGGUUUGCUACGAGGCGGUGUAGUUCUGACAGAAUUCACUAGAACUUCUCAAAAUGUCCAAGAUUGCAACCAUGCUCUGAUACCAACUGACACACCCCGUCCCGAAGGAGGGCAUGCUGGCCGUCACGUGAGAGUGACGUAACCAUUUGCACAGUACGGAAGCUUUAAUUAUACAAUUUAUAAGUUGAUACACCCGAAGGUGAGUCCUAAUUUUGUCCAAUCUGUCAGAACCCCGCUGUAUUCCUCGUAGUCACCACACCUUUGUGAUUCCUGAACCUGGAGGGGCGCAAAACCAAAAUUGAGUGGGUCAGUAAAACAAUUCUUUUCCAAAUCCAAACAUUUCUCAAAACGUUGUAACCCCUCUCUCCGUAAAACCUGUAUACUUUCCCAGAAAUGUAAAAUAUAAAUAUACAUAUAUAUUCUCAAAACUUCAUUUUUACUAUCUCAACAUUAUCUCUUUAUCAAUCAUGCCAUGCCAUGUCAUCUCAACAUUUCUCAUAUUAAUUAUGCCAUGCCACAUCAUCUCAACAGUAAUAAGGUAUGAAUGCAUCAACAUAAUCAUAUCAGGUGCAAGAAAGUAAUCAACCGUAGGCCUUCUAAUAGCCCUAUACGGUUGAACCUAGAGCUCAAAAUCUAUCAUUAUCACUCUACCGGAGUCACCUCUGUGACCCGUCCGGCCUUCUGCACACAAGUUACGCUCUAGUGCUUCUCAUAAAUCAUCUGUGCACAUAAUCUAAGGUCACCCACCAGUCGGAAUCUCACUAACACUCUCGCGACUGGUCUGUCGUACCCACUCCGCGUGGACUGUACGACUAGCAUCUACUUGGAUCCAAGGCGAGCGUGCGAUGCGGUGAAUACUAUAAGCACUAAACCAUGGUGCAGGAUUUG
rnacentral:lncRNA from 1 species